rnacentral:rRNA from 1 species
CACACCCGUUCCCAUGCCGAACACGGAAGUUAAGUUCUCUAGCGCCGAUGGUAGUUGGGACUUUGUCCCUGUGAGAGUAGGACGUUGCCAGGC